UACGUAGGGUGCAAGCGUUGUCCGGAAUUAUUGGGCGUAAAGAGCUCGUAGGCGGUCUGUCGCGUCUGCUGUGAAAACUCGGGCUUAACCCCGGGCCUGCAGUGGGUACGGGCAGACUAGAGUGCGGUAGGGGAGACUGGAAUUCCUGGUGUAGCGGUGAAAUGCGCAGAUAUCAGGAGGAACACCGGUGGCGAAGGCGGGUCUCUGGCCGUAACUGACGCUGAGGAGCGAAAGCGUGGGAGCGAACAGG
rnacentral:rRNA from 1 species